CAAAGGUUUGUAAGUACUACUUACGAUAAUUCACGAGGACAUUUAUUAUACUCUACUUUGUGCAGAAAUAAAGGCAUUCUGAAGUAAAUAUCUCGAUAAGUGCGGGAUGUUUUCCUGAAGUAUCUUAUUUCUUUUAUUUUAAGGUUGAAUGAGACCGUAUGAAGCUCCUUGUAAUUAGAGCUGGACAAGUUUCAUAGUAGAACAGUAACAGUCAUUAUCUUACAACGCAUCGCUACAACACAAUGUCCAGGAAAGCUGCAGUAUUUGACAACACCUGUCGCGCAUGUCAUCGAUGUAUAAUAAAGCUAUCACAUCUGUCAUACAUCUGGUCUGCUUCAAAGUUGAAUCCAGCGUUACCAUUCUUCAUCAGUUCUAUAAAUUUUCUCAGGGAAACUUUACGGAGAGAUUUGUAUGUGGAGAUACAGGAUUAUUAAAUUCGUGCGAUUACUCCGACAACGGCUAACAAGAAGAGAGGCUAUGUAAUUUUGCACAGCAUACCGUAUGUACUGAACCGAUGAACAAAAACAAAGACAAACUCGCUACAACUAGUUUACGCAAUGGAUUGCACGCUCGUUUCCCCGUCGAGUUCUCAAGGCGCUCUAAUGUCCGACGAGCACCGUUGUCGACAAUAGAGGUAUUUACAAAACAAGACUCAUCUAAUUGGUUUCCGAAAUCGUAUAAUCGAUAAGUGUAAUCGAAAACCAAUCGCGACAAGUCUCGCGUAGCGCUAUAUGACCAUGGCAAGUUCCGUUUGAUAAUGAUAAAGUCCUAUAGAACGUCUUAAAUCUUUUAGAAUAUUCUUAAAUAACACUAACGCACGAUGUAGGAAGUCCAUAAAGUCGACUAUAUCAAUGUAUGGAUAAAGUUUUGCAAAUUGUUUUGCAAUGACAUAAGUGGUACAAAAGAAAGGAACCGAUUAACAUAUCCAUAUAUUCAUGAAGUCAAUUUUAUAGUAAGUUUAUGAGGUAUCUGUAAGACACAAGAUUUGACAAGUCUUUACAUGUGACAAAAUUAUAUAUUUAGAAAUAAAUAUUGUAUAUAAGUUUUAGAAAAAUGCACUAUUUUAUUUGAUAUUCGCUUUGGCAUAUGUUCGUAAAAGUCAGUAUCAUUAAUAUAAAUGUCAACUUUCACUUACAAAUAUAUUGCGUGUAUCAAAUGAUAA